UGCUUCUUUGGGGUGGGAAUCUGAGGAGACCGCCUGUGAUAACCGGAGGAAGGGGGGGAAGACGUCAAUCUUUGGCCCUUGGGGACGGGCUUCACACUUGGUACAAGGCGGGACCAAAGGAACUAGAGGCGGGGGGUAUACAGAUCUUUUUAAAUACGUCGUAAUCCGAAUUGUACUCUGCAACUCGACUCCAUGAAUUCGGAAUCCCUAGUAUUCCCGAAUCAGAAUGCCGUGUUAAUCCUUCCCCGGGCCUUUC
rnacentral:rRNA from 1 species